CGUCGUUGUUGUUAACCACUAAAACCACUUAUAGAAGAGAAUGUGACCAAAGACUGCAUAUACUCCAUCCCAUGGAGCUGUGAUAGGUUAUACAAAGGCGAAACAUGCCCCCCCCCCAUCAAAAUAAGAGUAGACGAACAUCGCAAAGCUCUGACACGAGGAGAUAUUGAUA